AUGAUGGUGAGGGAAAAAUCAUUCGGGUUCCAAAUGCUAAAAAUGUGAUUGUUUACCAUCUACUUUUGAUUCAU